rnacentral:rRNA from 1 species
AUACGUAGGGGGCGAGCGUUGUCCGGAAUGAUUGGGCGUAAAGGGCGCGUAGGCGGCCCGGUAAGUCUGGAGUGAAAGUCCUGUUUUUAAGAUGGGAAUUGCUUUGGAUACUGUCGGGCUUGAGUGCAGGAGAGGUAAGUGGAAUUCUCAGUGUAGCGGUGAAAUGCGUAGAGAUUGGGAGGAACACCAGUGGCGAAGGCGACUUACUGGACUGUAACUGACGCUGAGGCGCGAAAGUGUGGGGAGCAAACAGGAUUAGAUACCCUGGUAGUCCACACUGUAAACGAUGAAUGCUAGGUGUAGGGGGUAUCGACCCCUUCUGUGCCGCAGUCAACACAAUAAGCAUUCCGCCUGGGGAGUACGGCCGCAAGGUUGAAACUCAAAGGAAUUGACGGGG